GCCAGAUUGGUGUAGUGGUUUGAGUUUUGGACUAGGACUCAGGAGACCAGGGUUCAAAUCCCCACUCAGUCA